rnacentral:snRNA from 1 species
GGGUGUCAGGGCAAUCUGACUGUGAUAUCUGUGACCCCAUUGACUGCCGGGCUGGUUUGGCAGGUCCAACUGGCUAGGUGGGUGUCCCAUUCCUCCAUGAUGACUCCAUGUGUCUCUCCCAAAGCUGCAUGGUCCAUGGUAGAGGAUGACCAUUCUUCCAUCAAGGGUAUAUGAUUAGUUGCACUCCCCUGCUAGGACCUCCAAACAAGUUUUCAAAGUAAGCUAUCUAAGAGUUAGUCCAGCAUGAGAUUUCCAGGUAGACUGCCUUCCAACUGUCACUCUCU